UGGGACUCCAGCAACUUGCCCGACGCAUGGCGCCGCUUCAAACAACAUGUGGAACUCAUGUUUACAGGACCACUCAAAAAUAGGUCGGAGGAACAAAAAUGCAGUUUCCUAUUGUUGUGGAUCGGGGAUAAAGGACGAGAUAUCAGUAAUACAUGGACUCUCACUGAGGACCAAGCCAAGGAGCUGGAAACGUAUUACAACGGCUUCUCAACAUACCUCACCCCGAAAGCUAACCCCAUUUUCGCCAGAUACAAGUUUCACGAGAAAACGCAAGGCAGCGGUGAGUCAUUUGAGCAUUUCGUCACAGAGCUAAAACUCCUUGUCAAAGACUGUGGCUACGAUAAAAGCGAUGAAAUGGUCCGUGAUCGUAUAGUUUUCGCGACCAACUCCCCGCACGUGAGAGAAAAGCUUCUCAGCCAAGGACCGGAGCUAACGCUAGAGAAAGCCAUAGACAUAGCCCGUUCCUAUGAGCUAGCUAAAUCACAGCUUAAAGCCAUGGCUAACGACAACCACGAAGUACAUGCAGUACGUCGCAGAAGCGGGAAACAAGCCAUCCCAAUGCGAACAAACAAGACAAAUGACAAGGCUUGUACGGCAUGCGGAGGAAAGCAUGACAAGCGAACGGAGUGUCCAGCGAAAGGCAAACAGUGUUUGAAAUGCAGAAAGUUUAACCACUUUGCAAAAGUGUGCAGAUCAAAUCCCAAUAGUCAGAGGAAAACAGGGCACAGGGAGGUGCACACUGUCCAAGAGACUACUGAUUCUGAUCCCGAGCUGUUCAUAGACACUAUAGCAGCAGGUGAGGACAACGAAGACAGUGCAUUUGCUGAUAUACAGCUAGGCCCAGACAAGGUAAAAAUAACCUUCAAGUUAGACACUGGAGCACAAGCAAAUAUUAUACCAGCAGAAGUUUUCACAAAGCUUAACACAUCAUUAAAGAAAGACAAAGACAAGCUGUUUGGAUACGGAGGACACCCACUAAAAGUCAAAGGCCACUGUGAACUAGUGAGCAGAUACAAGGACAAAACAACUGAACAGACAUUUCACGUUGUAGACUGCAAUGGACCACCAAUACUAGGCUUUAAAGCAUGCAAAGCACUAGGCCUCAUCAAGGUAGUGUAUGCAGUCACAAAUGCGAACAAGACAGAGCAGCCCACCCAAGAUACUGGCAUUUUAAGUGAGUACUCAGAUGUUUUCAAAGGUAUUGGUGUAUUUCAAGGCGAGUGUAGUUUCAGAGUAGACCCGAGCGUCACACCAGUCGUAUGUCCACCAAGGAGAGUUCCAUUUGCCCUCAGAGACCGCCUCAAAAUGGAGCUGGCAAACAUGGAAAGAGAUGGGAUCAUAUGCAAAGUUACAGAGCCCACUAAAUGGGUUAACGCACUCGUGAUCUGUGAGAAAGCCCUAACACAUAAACUACGCCUGUGCCUAGAUCCGCGGCCACUAAACAAAGCCAUACUACGACCGUACUACCCACUACCCACUCUCGAAGAUGUAACUCACAAACUAGCGGGAGCAAAGUUCUUCAGCAUUCUCGAUGCACGGUCAGGCUAUUGGGCCAUUAAGUUGAGUGAAGAGUCAUCCUUUCUGACCACCUUCAAUACCAUCUUUGGCAGGUAUCGCUUCCUCAGACUCCCCUUCGGAAUUGUGUCUGCCCAGGAUGAGUUCCAGAGGAGGAUCGAUGAGACAUACGAGGGCCUGGAUGGAGUGGCAGGCAUCGUUGAUGACAUCAUCGUGUUCGGA
ensembl:lncRNA